rnacentral:rRNA from 1 species
GACGAACGCUGGCGGCGUGCUUAACACAUGCAAGUCGAACGGAGCACCCUUGAUUGAGGUUUCGGCCAAAUGAUAGGAAUGCUUAGUGGCGGACUGGCGAGUAACGCGUGAGGAACCUGCCUUUCAGAGGGGGACAACAGUUGGAAACGACUGCUAAUACCGCAUGACGCAUUUUGAUCGCAUGGUCGAAAUGCCAAAGAUUUAUCGCUGAAAGAUGGCCUCGCGUCUGAUUAGCUAGUUGGUGAGGUAACGGCCCACCAAACCUACGAUCAGUAGCCGGUCUGAGAGGAUGAACGGCCACACUGGAACUGAGACACGGGUCCAAAACUCCUACGGGAGGCAGCAGUGAGGAAUAUUGGUCAAUGGACGAGAGUCUGAACCAGCCAAGUAGCGUGCAGGAUGACGGCCCUAUGGGUUGUAAACUGCUUUUAUAAGGGAAUAAAGUGAGUCUCGUGAGACUUUUUGCAUGUACCUUAUGAAU